rnacentral:rRNA from 1 species
GUCUACGGCCAUGCCACCCUGAACAUGCCCGAUCUUGUCUGAUCUUGUAAGCUAAGCAGGGUUGGGCCUGGUUGGUAUUGGGAUGGGAGACCACCUAGGAAGACUGGGUACUGUAGGUG